rnacentral:rRNA from 1 species
UGGAGCAUGUGUUUUAAUUCGAAGCAACUCGAAGUACCUUACCAGGGUAUGACAUGUGAGCUUCGACCUUCGGUAAGAGGUUAAUCCUGUGAAAGCAGGACGAAUCACACAGGUGUUGCAUGGCUGUCGUCAGCUCGUGUCGUGAGAUGUUGGGUUAAGUCCCGCUACUGAGCUCAACCCUUGCUGUUAGUUACCAUCGGGUAAUGCCGGGGACUCUAGCAGGACUGCCGGUGAUAAACCGGAGGAAGGUGGGGAUGAUGUCAAGUCAUUAUGACCCUUUACACCCUGGGCUAACCACGUGCUACAAUGGUCGGUACAAAGGUGAGCGAUACCGCGAGGUGGAGCAAAUCUCAANAAGCCGGCCUCAGUACGGAUUGCAGUCUGCAACUCGACUGCAUGAAGCUGGAAUCGCUAGUAAUCGUGGAUCAGCAUGCCACGGUGAAUACGUUCCCGGGCCUUGUACACACCGCCCGUCAAGCCAUGGAAGUUGGUAGCACUCGAAGUCGUCGACCCAACCUAGUGAGGGAACGCCGAAAGUGAGACUGAUA